AACACUCGUGGUGGGAAAGUGAUUUCCGUGUAACCAUCGUGUACUUUCUUCGUAGUUUGUUUACCAGUCCGGGCUCGUGAUGGGCAUGGUUGGUUAACUGGACUUCGUUUCACAUCGUUUCUAGGUAUAAGAGAGUGUUCUCCAUCGCAUCGAAAGCGGUAAAAACUGACAAUUUUUCUACCUUUGAAGUCACCAAUCAAACAAAGCAGGCAAAAGACUAAGAAUAUUACAUUUUCUACCGAGCGCAGAGAAGACCUUAUCACAGAGGCUUUAUUCUACAAAGACUUUGCUGGU